CAGUAAGAUGUUUGGUGAAGAGGGGUAG
rnacentral:piRNA from 1 species